GGGCGCUUGUGGCUCGUGGAAAAUUGUGUAGUCCGACAACACCCGCGUGUGUUUAGUGGUAACUGGCAACAGGCAGCAGUCAUCGCAGACAGACCACCGUCGCGUCGUCAACAUAAUAUUACUACAUUUUUUACACUGACAAUAAUAUUAUUAUUAUAAUAUAAAACGUUUUAUUAUUAUUUCGGUGCUUAAUAAUAAUAUACUUACAUUGCGAUCGCGCGCGAGUAACACACCUCCUGUGACCUUUAUCGUCAUCGUUGUUAUUAUUAUUAUUAUUAUUAUUAUUCGCAAUACGUAUCGCGUAUGUAAUAUUUUGAUAGUAUGAUAGUGCAAUAUAACAACAAUAUUGCAGACGGAAAAGAUAUUAUAGUUUGUAAACAACCCAUUGUACAUCAGUACGACUGCAACCGCGCUGUCCGUCGUCGGCUAACUGACCAUAGACAACUUGUGCAUUAAACGAGUAUUAUUGUAUAUUUAAUAUUUAUAAUAAUUAAAAACACAAUUUUUCUACCAAAUUAUUUUUUUUAAUUAACAUUUUUUUUGCUGUAGAACCCGUAAAUAAAUAGACCGGAAUCGCGAUCGCUCUUUUUGAAUAUCAGAGACAUGCGUUCCUGCUGCGGAAUAUAUACAAUUAUUGAACACAUAUUAAUUAAUAUUAAUUUUUGUAACAGAAAUUAUGAUUUAGUUUAGGUGUAAUCAUCAUUCGAUCCUAUCCACAGCAACAGCUUUCGACGAAAUCGCACUGUGCUCCAUUAUAAUAUACAUUACUAUAUUAUAUUCUUUAUCCGCGAAAAAUGUCUUUUAGACGUGUAACCAUAUUGUCACUAUCGUGGAUCAACGUCAUCGUAUGUCUCGUAUAUACCUGCAAUUUUACAGUUAUAGCAUCAAGUCCAGAAUAUUUGGGAUGUUUUUUGAACGUAGAUUUAAAUAUUUCAAACGGUUUAAAUAUAUCACUUGCUACUUUGACCCCUCAAGAGUGUUCAGACGAAUGUCAUGCAAACAAUUACACAUACGCCGCAAUUAAUAACGAACCAUUUUGUCGCUGCACAAAUAAUUAUAUAUCUAAAUUGAUGAAAGAAAUAGACGACGACUGCAAUGUAUCGUGUAGUGCUGCUGAAAAUGGGCCAAAUGAGAUGUGUCAAACGCAUUUUAAAAUAUUCAAAACGUAUAAUUCAAGUAAAAUAGGUGAGGAAAAAUAUCCUCAAGCGAUCUAUCUCGGAUGCUUCGGAGAAAGAAUGGGCGACGACAAGAACCGAUUACUGAAAUUUCCCCACGAAAGAUAUCGUGAUAAUACUCCGCAAAAAUGUUCCGAAGAAUGUUUCAAAAUCGGAUUUCUGUACUCUGGAUUAACAAAUGGAGAAGAACAGGGAACUGCUUGUUGGUGUGGUAAUCAAUAUCCCUCAGAGAAAUUUAAAAUAAGCGACGCGAAAUGUAACUCUCUCUGUUCGGGUGACAAGACGAAAAAUUGCGGUGGUCUGUGGAGAUUGAGCGUUUAUUCCACUGGAAUCGUUGAUUAUCCACUCAGAAAUUCGGUUGGCUGUUACAAUUUGGACAGUUUCACUCGAUACGACAAGAAAGUGUACAUUUUAAAAGAAACCAUUGAUUCGCACAGGUGUUUUUAUAUUUGCAACGAGAGAGGAUUUAAAUACGCGGCAGUCAGCGAAGAUCACUGUGAAUGCAGCGAUGAAAUACCGAGAGCGGAAGAACGGGAAAAUCAAGAAGAGUGUAAAAAAUGUGCUGGAGACGAAUCGGAGUAUUGUGGUGGUCCCAGCUCAAUAAGUAUCUACGAAAACGAUUGGUUUGGCAUGGUUACGGGAAAUCUAUCCAAAACCUAUUUUGGAUGCUUUGAAAACAAUUGGAUGUAUCCAGUGAUGGAUGGAUGGAAUAUAUCAUUUCCUAAAGAAAUGACCUCACAAAAAUGCGUUUCUAGUUGUUUUACCAGAGGCUAUCCAUUCGUAGCACUAGUGUCUUCGACGGUGUGUCUGUGCAGUUUCGUAAGUCCACCGGUCGAAGCCAAGUUGAGAGCUGGAGGACAGGAUUGUAACGCCACGUGUGCGGGUGGCAAGGAAAACGCGUGCGGCGAUCGCGACCACUACAGCGUGUUUACCACUGGUCUGAAAACUUCCCGGGUGCCCGGUAACCAUUACCUGGGUUGCUACGAAGAGACGGACGUGUACAGGGCGUUCAAGAAAAACCAGUCCAUUGAAUUCCCAUACGUCAACACGCCGAACAUUUGCUCCAAGCACUGCGACAGAACGGGCUACGAAUACUUCCAACUGUCCAGCAGGGAAUCGUGUUUUUGCGGAAACAGCCAUCCGGCGGAUGACGGCGCGAUACGGGUCGACGACAAUCAAUGUUCCACCCAGUGCUCGGGUGACGCGAACAAAUAUUGCGGUGGGGCGUUUAAAAUCGCGGCGUUCCGUAUAGGAAUGGUUGCUGACAGAAAAUAUAAUUGUUCUACAGAUUGUGAAUGCUAUUUCUUUCCGAAACACAAUUUAUCUAAAAUUGACUGUUCGAAAAGAAAUCUUAUUGACCCUUCUACAAUUAUUCCUGAUUUAAAAAUAACUUCGUCAUCCAUUGAUUUGAUUUUGAAAGACAAUUCGAUCGAAAUCUUACCUAAUUUAACAAGUUUUCGUAUCGCUUCAUUGGAUGUUAGUAAUAACAGUAUAACAACAUUGGAUGCCGGUCUUUUACCUAAAAGCUUAAAAGUUUUGUUUGUAAAUAAUAAUAAGUUAACAACUCUAAACAAUAACGCGUUGAGAUUAAUACAAAGUCUAGACAUCAUAAUGUUAUCGAACAACCCGUGGCCGUGCGAGUGCGAUUUGUUGAAUAUCCUACUAAAAUAUAAAUCAAAGAUCGGAGAUUUGAAGAAAAUCACUUGCUCGUCUUCCACUGACCCAUUUAUCCACAUGAAUGAAUACGAACUUUGUAAAAAAUGGAAAAUCAAUUUCUUUUACCUUUUCAUCGGUUUAGGUUUCGUUUCGUUCGUUUGCCUGCUGUCCGUCUAUUUUAACUUACACAGGACCGUUUGGUUGUACGUGCGUAACAUCCAAUGCGAUUCCUGUGAUCUUAUAUCCAUGCAGCACACCAAUAAGGCCGAUAAAGAUCUCGAGGAAGAAACUUUCAUGCAGCGCAUUCAAUACGACGAACUCGUACUGGCCACUGAAAACUGGAACCAGGACCGAGUGCUGGGAGAAGGCGGGUUCGGGGUGGUGUACAAAGGCAAUUGGAGGCACACAGACGUAGCGAUCAAAAGACUAAAAGCCGAGGGAGUAGCUGAAAAAGUGGUAAACAUGCACACUCUGGCUAACGAACUCCUGCAGAAUCCAUCGAAAGAGAUUAUGUACCUAAAUGCCGUUAAACAUGAUAACGUACUGUCCAUGUAUGGAUUUUGCUUCCAUUCGACGGGAUCUUGUUUGAUAUAUCAGUUCAUGGCAAACGGAUCACUCGAAGAUCGAUUACAAUGCAAAAACGGAACGAAACCAUUAUCUUGGACGACACGUGGAAACAUAGCGACAGGAAUUGCAAGAGGGUUACAGUUUUUGCACAAUGUUGAAACGCCUUUGAUCCAUGGCGAUAUAAAAAGCGCCAAUAUACUUUUGGAUUCUAAUCUCGAGCCCAGAAUAGGAGAUUUUGGGCUCGCUCGGACUGGUCCGCUGGAAAAAAUUAACAAAAGCAUUGGAUUUGAUGUCAGUCACGUGUGUGGUACUAAGCCUUAUUUGCCUGAAGAUUUUUGUAAGAGCAAAAAACUUUCAACCAAAGUGGACACUUACAGUUUCGGCGUAGUAAUGUUCGAAAUCGCAACCGGUCUAAGAGCGUUUAAUAGAUACAAAAAUUAUAAAUAUUUGAAAGAUAUGGUGAAUAAGCACGACGACUCUUCAAUUGUGAAUAUCGCCGACAAAUUGGCCGGACAUGAUCCAUUUCAUAUUUUUGAAGUACUUAUAAAAUUGGGAAAAGCUUGCGUGGUAGACAUAGCUGAGAAGCGUCCGGAAAUGGUCGUUGUUUACAUGAAUCUACAAAACACUUUGUCAUCGAAAUCUGACGUCAAUAAUGUUGAAGCAAACGGCGAGAUAUAUAACAAGAAUGAGUCGAAUGCACAGUUAAAGGAAACAAAAAAUAAGGAUUUCAUAAAAUUGGAUGAAAUAAAGGCAGUGCUGUUAGCACCACUCCACGAGAUUCCGUCAAUAUCGAACUUGUAUUCUAGUCCUGUGCACGAAGUAAACGACCCUCGGAAAAUCAUUACCACAGAAGUAAAAUCUAACAGCAAUGAAAUAUCGGUAUGCCUAAAUGGGUUUAAGUACCGUAAUAUAAAAUAACUUUUUUACUACGUACUCAUAAUUUAAUCUGAUGCGUGUACGUUUUCGAUAGGAUGAAGGUUUUUUUACGACUGAUUUUUAAAUUAUCGAGUCAAGUAACACUAUACAGUAUAAGCGACGUUAUGAAAAUAAUUAGUUACUGUUAAUCUGCAUGCUGACCACUAUUGUAAUUUGAAAAUAUCAUUUAAUUAUGUUACGUCUUAUAAACUAUAUCAAAUUUGAUCAAAAUAUUAGCCUAUUUACUUGAACAAAUUAUGUAAUGCACUAUACAUUUUUAAAAUAAGUUAUUUUCAUACAAGAAUAUCACAAAACAGCUGCUCAUUACAUUGCACAAUUUAAUAAUUCAGAAAUGCAAUAGAUAGCAAAAUAUACAAGGAAAACAAUUUUACGGUAAAACUAAUUUUUAAUCGACAAAGUAAAUU